UUUUCUAUUUUUUUAAUUUCUACAAUUUACUAUGAAUUUACAUAAAAAUUUAGCUAAAACUCUCUCUCUUGCCCUAUGAACCCUAACCCUAAGCAAGAAUGUUUCAUGAACUCUAGAUCUAGAGCACCUCUAAUACAAGAAUUGAACCAUAGAAUCACUAAAAAAAUAGCAUCAAGGGCUCCAACUAACCUUUUGGAAGUUUCUCACCAAAGAAAUGAGGAUCAAAACCUCCCCCCUUGGAAACUGGAAUCGUCUG
rnacentral:lncRNA from 1 species